rnacentral:rRNA from 1 species
GACGAACGCUGGCGGCGUGCUUAACACAUGCAAGUCGAACGGUAAGGCCCUUCGGGGUACACGAGUGGCGAACGGGUGAGUAACACGUGGGUGAUCUGCCCUGCGCUUCGGGAUAAGCCUGGGAAACUGGGUCUAAUACCGGAUAGGACCACUGCCUGCAUGGGUGGUGGUGGAAAGCUUUUGCGGUGUGGGAUGGGCCCGCGGCCUAUCAGCUUGUUGGUGGGGUGAUGGCGUACCAAGGCGACGACGGGUAGCCGGCCUGAGAGGGUGACCGGCCACACUGGGACUGAGAUACGGCCCAGACUCCUACGGGAGGCAGCAGUGGGGAAUAUUGCACAAUGGGCGCAAGCCUGAUGCAGCGACGCCGCGUGAGGGAUGACGGCCUUCGGGUUGUAAACCUCUUUCAGCACCGACGAAGCGCAAGUGACGGUAGGUGCAGAAGAAGGACCGGCCAACUACGUGCCAGCCGCCGCCGUAA